AUAUUGGCACAAUUGGUCAGUGAAUCUGGCCCUUAACCAGAAGGUUGGUGGUUUGAGCCCACCAAGGGACA